GAGUUUGAUUAUGGCUCAGGAUGAACGCUAGCGACAGGCUUAACACAUGCAAGUCGAGGGGCAGCACGGGAGUAGCAAUACAACGUGGUGGCGACCGGCGCACGGGUGAGUAACGCGUAUGCAACCUACCUAUCAGAGGGGAAUAACCCGGCGAAAGUCGGACUAAUACCGCAGUAAAACAGGGGCACCGCAUGGUGAUAUUUGUUAAAGAGAUUCGCUGAUAGAUGGGCAUGCGUUCCAUUAGGUAGUUGGUGAGGUAACGGCUCACCAAGCCGGCGAUGGAUAGGGGAACUGAGAGGUUGGUCCCCCACACUGGUACUGAGACACGGACCAGACUCCUACGGGAGGCAGCAGUGAGGAAUAUUGGUCAAUGGGCGGGAGCCUGAACCAGCCAAGUCGCGUGAAAGGAAGAAGGAUCUAUGGUUCGUAAACUUCUUUUGCAGGGGAAUAAAGUGCAGGACGUGUCCUGUUUUGUAUGUACCCUGAGAAUAAGGAUCGGCUAACUCCGUGCCAGCAGCGGC
rnacentral:rRNA from 1 species